rnacentral:rRNA from 1 species
AUUGAACGCUGGCGGCAGGCCUAACACAUGCAAGUCGAGCGGUAGAGAGGUGCUUGCAUCUCUUGAGAGCGGCGGACGGGUGAGUAAUGCCUAGGAAUCUGCCCUGGUAGUGGGGGAUAACGUUCGGAAACGAACGCUAAUACCGCAUACGUCCUACGGGAGAAAGCAGGGGGACCUUCGGGCCUUGCGCUAUCAGAUGAGCCUAGGUCGGAUUAGCUAGUUGGUGAGGUAAUGGCUCACCAAGGCGACGAUCCGUAACUGGUCUGAGAGGAUGAUCAGUCACACUGGAACUGAGACACGGUCCAGACUCC